rnacentral:rRNA from 1 species
AGCGAACGCUGGCGGCAGGCCUAACACAUGCAAGUCGAACGAACUCUUCGGAGUUAGUGGCGGACGGGUGAGUAACACGUGGGAACGUGCCCUUUGGUUCGGAACAACUCAGGGAAACUUGAGCUAAUACCGGAUGUGCCCUUCGGGGGAAAGAUUUAUCGCCAUUGGAGCGGCCCGCGUCUGAUUAGCUAGUUGGUGAGGUAAAGGCUCACCAAGGCGACGAUCAGUAGCUGGUCUGAGAGGAUGAUCAGCCACAUUGGGACUGAGACACGGCCCAAACUCCUACGGGAGGCAGCAGUGGGGAAUCUUGCGCAAUGGGCGAAAGCCUGACGCAGCCAUGCCGCGUGAAUGAUGAAGGUCUUAGGAUUGUAAAAUUCUUUCACCGGGGACGAUAAUGACGGUACCCGGAGAAGAAGCCCCGGCUAACUUCGUGCCAGCAGCCGCAGUAAGAC